GUGUCAGCAGCCGCGGUAAUACGUAGGGGGCGAGCGUUGUCCGGAUUUAUUGGGCGUAAAGGGCGUGUAGGCGGCCUGUUAAGUCAGGGGUGAAACCCCAGGGCUCAACCCUGGGCGUGCCUCUGAUACUGAUGGGCUUGAGUACUCUAGAGGGCAGUGGAAUUGCCGGUGUAGCAGUGAAAUGCGUAGAGAUCGGCAGGAACACCAGUGGCGAAGGCGACUGCCUGGGGAGAAACUGACGCUGAGGCGCGAAAGCUAGGGGAGCAAACAGGAUUAGAUACCCUGGUAGUCC
rnacentral:rRNA from 1 species